CAAAUUUCUGUUUACUCCCUCCGCGAAGUUUUUACAUAAGAAUUCUAUUUCAGGUUGCUUGUUGAAUAUAUUUUAGGAAUUUAACCCUGAAUGGAUUCAGAGCAAACCGAUGAACUCCCGAACUGGUUAUUUGACGACGAUGACCCAGACAGCUACUUCAUGCCGGUCAACACACUAACAUAUACAGAUGCACAGACUGUAAAGAGAGUUUAUUCGCUAGCUAAGAAAAUCUGUGAGGUUUUUACCAGAAACUCCUUAUUCUAUUGGACGACGGGAGGGACUACCCUUGGCAUAGUUAGACAUGGUGGUCUUAUACCGUGGGAUGAUGAUUUAGAUAUAUGCAUACUUAAAAAGGAUGAAGCGCAGCUAGAAAGUUUAACGAAAGAGUUGCUACAAGAAGGUUUACGUCUCCAACCUGCUCAACCCUACUCCUGGAAAAUAUUUAGUCUGGUGGACUCUGACCCGGUAGAGAACAUUAAUUACACGCACAGAUAUCCCUUCUGCGACGUGUUUGUCAUGACACAGAAGAAGGAUAGAUAUGUUCUGUGUGAGAAGGUUGGAGAGAAUAUUUGGCCCAACGAGAUCUAUUACCAGGAUCAACUUGACAAGACUGAGUUACGAAGAUUUGGAAAUAUUUAUUUACCCUGCCCUGGGAACCCGGAGAAGUACCUAGAUGGAACCUAUGGUUCUAACUGGAGUUCUGCUGGUUCUACACACUUCUUUAAUCACAAGAACGGAACCCUGUUUCGCUCUUCUCAGUUUGAUUUGUCGGAGGAAAUGUUUGUGCCUGCUCUGCCCUUUGAAUAGGACAGGAAACUAGAAAAUGCUACGACACCAAAGUUUUAGUAUUUUCGUAUUUGCAUGGUAGUCAAAUGAUUAACCCCUAUUGAUAUACUCAGUGAUCAAUUUACAUCAACUUCCCUGAUGUUUAUUACAGUGCUUAGGAUCCGGAUCUGUUGUAUCCGCAAGUUUUUAGAUCUUAAUCUGGAUUCAAGGGGCAAAAUAUCAACCAAAAGCUUCAAAAACUUAAAUUUGAGUUAUUGAAAAAGAGAGAUUAUAAAAAUUUCCUAAUUUCUCAAUGGUUUAUCAAGAUUAAGCAUAAAAAUAAGCGAAAAAAAAUGAAACAAAAAAAUUUUAAAAUUUUGUCCCAAAAAAUCAGUAAAUCUAGAAAGAAAUUACUUGGAUCCAUUUCUUUCCAGCCCGGAUCCGGAUCCGCAUCAAAAUUAAACGGAUCCUAAGCAAUGCUUUGUUAUAGUUUACAAUUUGUGUGUUACUCCAUCUAGAUAUAUAAUGCUAAUGAUAAUAAUGAUAAUAAUAAUAAUGAUGUCUCAUAUGAACUGUAUAGUGGUAAAAAGUAAAUAUUGAAAGGACUUUCGGCUUCAUUAGUUUUUCAUAAAAGGAUUUUUUAUCACAAACUUUUAUGUUUUAUGUGGCCUGAAUUUUGUAGUAAUUUACCCGUUCAAAUUAUUGCUUCUAGAGAUUCUUUGUUACCAAUGUAUACGAAACAUAAGAUGCAAUUAGUUGAAACAGAAACCCAGUUGUAUUCCUUCCUUAUCAUUUUUAAUCUUGUGCUUUUUAUUCCAACUUCUUUUAUUUUUACUAAUACAGGGACUAAAGUCGUAAUUUCAAGGAACACCAGUUUACAGAAGUGCAUUUCCGAUUCACAUUAGUACCCUCUCAACUGUUGUCUGAACAAUGAUGAAUAAAAUAUCGAUAUUUGUGAACAGAAAUAAAAAGAAAAAACCGACGAUAUCUUUCACAUUCUUACUCAGAUAGAGGUGUGAAUCGAUUAUGCCACAUUUUAUAUAUAAUGGUUAACUUUAAAUUACGUUCACAGUCCCUUUAUAAUUUGUAAAACGUUCACAGUCCCUUAAUACUUUGUAAAACGUUCACAGUCCCUUUAUACUUUGUAAAAUGUUCACAGUCCCUUUAUACUUUGUAAAACGUUCACAGUCCCUUUAUA